rnacentral:tRNA from 2 species
GCCGGAUUAGCUCAACAGGCAGAGCACCUGUCUAGUAAACAGGCCGCGCGGGUUCGAGUCCUGCAUCCGGCUCCA